GAUGAACGCUGGCUACAGGCUUAACACAUGCAAGUCGAGGGGAAACGGCAUUGAGUGCUUGCACUGAAUGGACGUCGACCGGCGCACGGGUGAGUAACGCGUAUCCAACCUUCCCGUUACUUCGGGAUAACCUGCCGAAAGGCAGACUAAUACCGCAUGUUCUUCGAUGACGGCAUUAGAUUCGAAGCAAAGAUCCGUCGGUAACGGGGGGGGAUGCGUCUGAUUAGCUAGUUGGCGGGGGGACGGCCCACCAAGGCGACGAUCAGUAGGGGUUCUGAGAGGAAGGUCCCCCAGAUUGGAACUAAGGCACGGACCAAACUGCUACGGAAGGCAGCAGUGAGGGAUGUUGGGAAAUGGGCGGAAGCCUGAACCAGCCAAGUAGCGUGCAGGGUGGCGGCCCUACGGGUUGUAAACUGCUUUUAUGCGGGGAUAAAGUGAGGGACGCGUCCCUUUUUGCAGGUACCGCAUGAAUAAGGACCGGCUAAUUCCGUG
rnacentral:rRNA from 1 species